rnacentral:rRNA from 1 species
UGCCUACGGGACGCAGCAGUGAGGAAUAUUGGUCAAUGGGCGCGAGCCUGAACCAGCCAAGUCGCGUGAGGGAUGACGGCCCUACGGGUUGUAAACCUCUUUUGUCGGGGAGCAAAUUCCGCCACGUGUGGCGGAGUCGAGAGUACCCGAAGAAAAAGCAUCGGCUAACUCCGUGCCGGCAGCCGCGGUAAUACGUAGGGAGCAAGCGUUAUCCGGAUUUAUUGGGUGUAAAGGGUGCGUAGACGGGAAAACAAGUUAGUUGUGAAAUCCCUCGGCUUAACUGAGGAACUGCAACUAAAACUAUU